CCUCUCCUCCACCACAGGACCCUCUCCUCCUCCACAGGACCCUCUCCUCCUCCACAGGACCCACUCCUCCACCACGGGACCCGCUCCUCCACCACAGGACCCGCUCCUCCACCACAGGACCCGCUCCUCCACCACAGGACCCGCUCCUCCACCACAGGACCCUCUCCUCUGUAGGUACUGGACCUCUGUAGGUUCUGGACCUCUGUAGGUACUGGACCUCUGGUCCUCUGUAGGUACUGGACCUCUGUAGGUUCUGGACCUCUGUAGGUUCUGGACCUCUGGUCCUCUGUAGGUACUGGACCUCUGUAGGUACUGGACCUCUGGUCCUCUGUAGGUUUUGGACCUCUGGUCC